rnacentral:rRNA from 1 species
GGUGAACGCUGGCGGCGUGCUUAAGACAUGCAAGUCGAACGGCAGUCUUCGGACUGUAGUGGCGCACGGGUGAGUAACGCGUAACUGACCUACCCCAAAGUCGCGGAUAACGAUUCGAAAGAAUCGCUAAUACGUGAUGUGCUGUCAGAUUGUGUUCUGCCAGUAAAGAUUGAUUGCUUUGGGAUGGGGUUGCGUUCCAUCAGCUAGUUGGUGGGGUAAAGGCCCACCAAGGCGACGACGGAUAGCCGGCCUGAGAGGGGGGCCGGCCACAGGGGCACUGGGACACGGGUCCCACUCCUACGGUAGGCAGCAGUUAGGAAUCUUCCACAAUGGGCGAAAGCCUGAUGGAGCGACGCCGCGUGAGGGAUGAAGGUCUUCGGAUCGUAAACCUCUGAAUCAGAGACGAAAGACACUUCGGUGGGAUGACGGUACCUGAGUAAUAGCACCGGCUAACUCCGUGCCAGCCGCCGCUGUAAUAC